rnacentral:rRNA from 1 species
CCUACGGGGAGCAGCAGUGAGGAAUAUUGGUCAAUGGACGAGAGUCUGAACCAGCCAAGUAGCGUGAAGGAUGACUGCCCUAUGGGUUGUAAACUUCUUUUAUAUGGGAAUAAAACGUUCCACGUGUGGGAUUUUGUAUGUACCAUAUGAAUAAGGAUCGGCUAACUCCGUGCCAGCAGCCGCGGUAAUACGGAGGAUCCGAGCGUUAUCCGGAUUUAUUGGGUUUAAAGGGAGCGUAGGUGGAUUGUUAAGUCAGUUGUGAAAGUUUGCGGCUCAACCGUAAAAUUGCAGUUGAAACUGGCAGUCUUGAGUACAGUAGAGGUGGGCGGAAUUCGUGGUGUAGCGGUGAAAUGCUUAGAUAGCACGAAGAACUCCGAUUGCGAAGGCAGUUCACUGGACUGCAACUGACACUGAGGCUCGAAAGUGUGGGUAUCAAACAGGAUUAGAUACCCGGGUAGUC